rnacentral:rRNA from 1 species
CAAAUCAGGUAGGAUUACCCGCUGAACUUAAGCAUAUCAAUAAGCGGAGGAAAAGAAACUAACAAGGAUUCCCAUAGUAACUGCGAGUGAAGUGGGAAAAGCUCAAAUUUGAAAUCUGGCAGUCAAUUCUGGCUGUCCGAGUUGUAAUCUAGAGAAGUGUCAUCCGUACUGGACCAUGUACAAGUCUCCUGGAAAGGAGCAUCAUAGAGGGUGACAAUCCCGUCUUUGACAUGGACUGCCAGUGCAUUAUGUGAUGCACUCUCAAAGAGUCGAGUUGUUUGGGAAUGCAGCUCAAAAUGGGUGGUAAAUUCCAUCUAAAGCUAAAUACAGGCAAGAGACCGAUAGUGAACAAGUACCGUGAGGGAAAGAUGAAAAGAACUUUGGAAAGAGAGUUAAACAGUGCGUGAAAUUGCUGAAAGGGAAACGCUUGAAGUCAGUUACAUUGACUGGAAAUCAACCCUGCUCUUGCCGUUGGGUGUAUUUUGCCAGUUAAUGGGCCAGCAUCAAUUUUGGCCAUUGGAUAAAGAUAUGGGGAAUGUAGCAUUUAUUUACAAAUGCAUUAUAGCCUUGUAUUGUAUGCAAUGGUUGGGAUUGAGGAAUUCAGCACGCUUGAAAGGCUGGAGAGUGAUCUCACAUUCGUGCUUAGGAUGGCUGGCAUAAUGGCUUUAAUCGACCCGUCUUGAAACACGGACCAAGGAGUCUAACAUGCCUGCGAGUAUUUGGGUGGAAAACCCAURUGCGCAAUGAAAGUGAAA